AACGAACGCUGGCGGCAGGCUUAACACGUGCAAGUCGAACGCAUCCUUCGGGGUGAGUGGCAGACGGGUGAGUAACGCGUGGGAACGUGCCCUUCAGUUCGGGAUAACCCAGGGAAACUUGGGCUAAUACCGGAUACGUUCGAGAGCAGAAAGAUUUAUCGCCGAAGGAUCACCCCGCGUCUGAUUAGCUAGUUUGUGGGGUAAUGGCCCACCAAGGCGACGAUCAGUAACAGGUCUGAGAGGAUGAUCAGCCAACUUGGGACUGAGACACGGCCCAAACUCCGACGGGAGGCAGCAGUGGGGAAUAUUGGACAAUGGGCGCAAGCCUGAUCCAGCCAUGCCGCGUGAGUGAUGAAGGCCUUAGGGUUGUAAAGCUCUUUUAGUAGGGAAGAAGCGAAAGUGACGGUACCUGCAGAAAAAGCACCGGCUAACUACGUGCCAGCCGCCGCCGUAA
rnacentral:rRNA from 1 species